UAGUCCACGCCGUAAACGAUGAUUACUCGCUGUAGGCGAUACACAGUCUGUGGCUAAGCGAAAGUUUUAAGUAAUCCACCUGGGGAGUACGAUCGCAAGAUUGAAACUCAAAGGAAUUGACGGGGGCCCGCACAAGCGGAGGAACAUGUGGUUUAAUUCGAUGAUACGCGAGGAACCUUACCUGGACUUAAAUGUAGAUUGCAUAGAGUGGAGACAUUCUUUUCUUCGGACUAUUUACAAGGUGCUGCAUGGUUGUCGUCAGCUCGUGCCGUGAGGUGUCGGGUUAAGUCCCAUAACGAGCGCAACCCCUAUACUUAGUUGCCAGCACAUCAUGGUGGGGACUCUAAGUAGACUGCCUGCGCAAGCAGUGAGGAAGGAGGGGACGAGGUCAGGUCAUCAUGGCCCUUACGCCCAGGGCUACACACGUGCUACAAUGGCGUGUACAGAGGGAAGCUACCUGGUAACAGGAUGCAAAUCUUCAAAGCACGUCCCAGUUCGGAUCG
rnacentral:rRNA from 1 species